UACGAAGGGGGCUAGCGUUGUUCGGAAUUACUGGGCGUAAAGCGCGCGCAGGCGGUCGUUCAAGUCGCGUGUGAAAGCCCCCGGCUCAACUGGGGAGGGUCACGCGAUACUGAUCGACUCGAAGGCAGGAGAGGGAAGUGGAAUUCCCGGUGUAGUGGUGAAAUGCGUAGAUAUCGGGAGGAACACCAGUGGCGAAGGCGACUUCCUGGCCUGUUCUUGACGCUAAGGCGCGAAAGCUAGGGGAGCAAACGGG
rnacentral:rRNA from 1 species